AAAUAACUAGUUCAAGGUCUCAGUGGAAGAGCCAAAAUAGAAUGCAGAUCUUUCUAUCUCCAGAACCCAAACAACUGAACACACUGCCUUCCAUUUGGGAGCCUCAGGGGACACUGGAGAAGAAGCUAAUUCUGCUGUCUGAGAAUUAUCUGCGUCUUGCUAGCAUGAAAAGGUUGCUGGAGGCGUUGAAUGAAAUGGAGCACACCAAGUGUUUAACACAGUACCUCCUAUAUUAUAGUUAAUCAUUAUGGGUGUAAUAAUAAUAUCAUAAUUAUUGCCAUAUAUAAUUAUGUUAUCAUUGUUAUUAUUGCUAUUGCUACUGUUUGUUCACCUUGAAAAAAAAUAAAAAA
rnacentral:lncRNA from 1 species